rnacentral:rRNA from 1 species
AUGCCGCUCAAUAGGGUUUCGGAUCUCAUUGAUGAGUAUUCAGGAAAUUGGAAUGAACAGAUUGUCCGUCAAAAUUUCUUGCACCCGGAUGCGGUAGCCAUUCUUAAUAUACCACUGAAUCCGGCGGGUGGCGAAGAUACUCUAGCCUGGUCUUUGGAUAAGUCGGGCAUCUACACUGUAAAAUCAGCGUAUCGUUCUCUUGUGACUCGCAAUGAGCUUGGCUCUCGAGAGGAAGGGGCGACUACAGAAUCAUCAUCAGCUAAUAAACAGUUGUGGACUGCUCUUUGGCGACUACGAGUCGUCCCCAAAGUACGGGUAUUCGGUGGAGAGUUCUCCGAGGGAUUUUACCUGACUCUACUACUUUGA